ACAUUCAUCUAAACAAAGUCCUGAACUUUCAUUAUCUUCAUGAAGUAAGGUGUGCUGUGAUAUAAAACCCGGGGUUGAUUUUGAUGGUGAUUGUGUACACAUCUAAGGUUUUACUAUUUAGACUUCAUAAAGAAAGGUGGGGUCACACUAGGGUUGCUCAAGGUUCAUUUGGAAAGUUAUCCUGUUUCUGAAUGUUUUUCUGUACCUCUUCCAAUAUCUCCCACAUUACCCUCACUAUUGUCUAAUGGUUUUUAUUCAUUUCCUUUUUGGGUUUAACUUCCAUAAAUGUUUCUGGUAAAUUCUGAUAAGAUAUGGUUCUGGAAAUUUUACAAAGGCUUCCUAAUCACAUCAGUGAGCUACUGUAAAAUUUUGGGAUGCAUUGGACUUCUA
rnacentral:lncRNA from 1 species